GUUAACGACCGUAUCAUGUUAAGCACUCCCGUUCUCGUCCAAUCACCGAAGUUAAGCAACAUCGGACAUGGCUAGUACUUAGGUGGGUGACCAUUUGGGAAAACCAUGUGUCGUUGGCA
rnacentral:rRNA from 1 species